GCCCUGCUGACACCUUGAUUUUGGACUUCUAGCCUCCA
rnacentral:miRNA from 1 species